rnacentral:lncRNA from 1 species
UUUAUGGUAGAUGAAACCCUAGAAAUGAGGUUUAGGGUUAUUUUGGGGCUUUUUGAUUAGAUGCUUUUAGAACUCUCUUGAUGGGUUUAGAACCUUGGAAUAGGUUGCUUUGGAAGGAAUUUGACUUCCAUUUGGGGUUUGUGAGAGGAUUUCUACCUCAUAGGUGAGUUUUCUCCACCUUAGCCUACGUGGUCUUUUGCAUUUUUGGUAGUUCACUCUCCUUUUGUUGUAGUUGAGAGAGAGAGUUAUGUUAGUACCUUGUAUAGAGAGACCACCUAUGUAUCUGGUUUAGCAUUUGUACUUUAGAUGUUUAUUGUACUACUUCCCGUUUCUACCUAGUGGAUUUAGCUCUAUAUUCAUUUCGGUUAUUGUAGCAUCUAGAUAUACUUGCUCUGAUACUGCUAGAUGUUCUCUUUAUCUUGCUUUAUUUAUCGUUUUAUUUUAGACGCCUUAUAUGUUUUAAACGUAUGGCGGGUCUGGGCACGUGCCGAGCGGGCUUCCGCUGGGUCCCGGGGCGUGACAGAUUAAUUUGGUAUCAGAGCCUAGGGUUGAGUCUUAGUUGACCUAGUAAACCUUAGGCUAGUUGGACAAUAGGAAAUAGGCUCGUGAGAGAUAGGGUCUAUUCGACUUAUGAGCGAAAGUAUCGUGAUUGGGUAUCUUGAUAACUCUAGAAAGUGGAGUUAAAUUGAAGUGUAUAGCUCCUAACUUCGCGAAGGGUUACGUUGGCGGCCGACAACGUAACAUCGGGAGUUAGUAGUGAAGCACACUUCAUUACUUUCGCAUGAUUUGGGGUAUUAGCUGCUUGAGCGGGAUACGAUUGCGUGCGUUACUAACUUACGCUUUUAUGAUGUUGUAGUGACGAUGCCGAUUACACGCUCUCAAUCUGCCAGAGCGGAUAAUGCGGCAAACUUGGAGGAGGUCGAGACCUCCGCUACCUCCAGAUCCGGCGAGGUCCGUGAGUUGAGGGGCCAGCUUGCGGCCCUCACUGAUAUGGUAGCACAGCAGACUAAGGCAGCGUGCCGACAGGAGGCGUGGAUGAAGCGCCUAGAGGACCUUCUUCUGCAGCAGGCGGCACCUUCCAGGGAGACCCAGGCCCCUACACCGCCAGCACCAAUUGUGGACGUCGCGCCGAGAGCGCCGUCCCCUGCGCCCAGUUCGUCGUGUGCAGCGCCUGUGGCCGCGCCUCAGGAGGAGGUUGGCGGCGCCACCUGUUCAGGCACCCCCGAUUGGAGCUAUUUUUCCCGUGUUGGUUGAGGGAGCGGAGCGGGACCGACUGAUGGAGCGCCUCAACGAGUUCAGGAGGUGCGGUCCCCGGAUCUUCGACGGCGAAAAGGUCGACCACUGAAUCGUAGAGAAGUGGUUGAUGCAUAUGGAGAAGCUCUUUCGCGACACCUUCGUGGAGGAGAGGGAUCAGGUUUGGCUUGCCACACACCACCUGGACGGCGAGGCCUAUCGCUGGUGUUUGGAUCUCCAGGAGCACCCCAGCACUGAUUUGGCAGCUAUUACUUGGAAGAGGUUCAAGGGGCUUCUUUUGGCUCAUUACUUCCCGACCAGUGUCAAGAGAAAGAUGGAGCAGGACUUGCGCAACUUGCGCCAGGGAGACAGGACAGUAGCCGAGUACGAGCGGUAGUUUUCUCGGCUUCUACAUUGCGUGCCUUUUGUCGUGCGGGACGACGAGGACAAGGCCCGCAUCUUCGAGCGAGGAUUGCGACCGUCGAUCUUCCAGUUUGUGCAAUCCUCUAACCUCCAAACCUACCGGGAGGUGGUGGAUCGCGCGCUCAUCGUGGAGAGCGGCGCGGCAGAUGUCCAGGAGCGGCGAGAGGCUAUGGACAAGGGUAAGGCCAAGAGGCCUGCGGCUGAGGGUGUGAGCCAAACGCACUCUAGGAGGCUGCCGAAGCAUCCUAGGAGCCAGCAGCGUGGGCGUGGCUCGGCAACUCACCGUGGAGGUUCUGACCGACGUCGACCUUCCCAGUGCGUGAUCUGUAGUGGUCCUCACAUUCCACCACAGUGCCCACAGCGGGGAGGGAGGUGUUUCCAGUGUGGCAAGGAGGGCCACUUCCGGACCGAGUGCCCGAGGGGUUUGUCACCGGCACCAUCAUCUGCAUCGGCACCGGCUCUACCAGCCGCCAGCUAGGGGACUCUAUCGGCGCAGUACCAGCCUGGGCGGCCACCCGUCCAGCGCCAGAGCGAGGGUUCUCGACAGGCCCCGAGUGGGCGUAUGUAUGCCGCUCAGACCUAGGAGGCGGCAGUAGCCGAGGAUGUGGUUGCAGGUAUCAUUUUACUUGAUGACAUUAGAGUUCUUGCAUUAUUUGAUACCGGUGCAUCACAUUCAUUCAUAGAUCGGCUGUUUGCCGAGUUGCAUGGCAUCCCUAUGCUUUCUUUGUUGUAUCCGAGAUGUGUAGUUGUCCCCGACCAUUCUUUGGAUAUUAGAGAGUAUUGCCCCAGUUGCCCUAUUCGGGUAGGAAAUUGGAUUAUGCCCGUGGACUUGCUAUCCCUGCGCAAGCUGGGGGAAUUUGAUGUGGUCUUAGGCAUGGAUUGGUUAACCAAAUAUUAUGCCACGAUAGAUUGCAAGAAUCUCACGGUUACUUUUAGAGAACCGGGACAGACUGAGGUUGUAUUUAGAGGAUGCCAGAGUUCGCUUUUUGCGAUGAUGAUCAGCUCAUCUCGAGCUAGGCAGGUGAUCAGCAGAGGUUGCGUAGCCUAUUUGGCUAGUGUCGUGCUGAGGGGCGGGGACGACGCCCCUAGGAUUGAGGAUAUCCCAGUGGUGCGGGAGUUUUGUGACGUGUUUCCAGCUGAGCUACCGGGUAUGCAACCCGAUAGGGAGAUCGAGUUUGUGGUAGAUCUCGUCCCUGAGACUACUCCAAUCUCGAAGUCACCCUAUAGGAUGGCACCGGCGGAGCUGAAGGUGCUGAGGGCACAGCUACAGGAUCUGUUGGAUAAAGGCUUCAUUCGACCGAGCGUCUCACCGUGGGGGGCGCCAAUUCUGUUCGUCAAGAAAAAGGACGGAUCACUUCGCCUAUGCGUGGGCUAUCGUGAACUCAAUAAAGUCACGAUCAAGAAUAAGUAUCCGUUGCCGAGAAUCGAUGACUUGUUUGAUCAGUUUCACGGAUCGUGUGUGUAUUCCAAGAUCGACUUGCAGUCGGGAUACCACCAGUUGAAGAUCAAACCCGAUGAUGUAUCGAAGACGGCUUUUAGAACACGAUAUGGACAUUAUGAGUUAACUGUUAUGCCGUUCGGGCUUACUAAUGCCCCGGUAGCUUUUAUGGAUCUAAUGAACCGUGUUUUUAAGCCUUAUCUAGACAGUUUCGUCAUGGUGUUCAUCGACGAUAUUUUGGUUUAUUCCCGAAGUGAUGCAGAUCAGAGGAGCAUUUGAAGCUUGUACUUCAAGUACUUCUGGAAAAGGAGCUCUAUGCCAAGUUGAAAAAGUGUGAAUUUUGGCUUCGAGAGGUAGCUUUUCUUGGACAUUUGAUUUCAGGAUCGGGUAUAGCUGUGGAUCCUAAGAAGAUUGAAGCAAUCAAGGAUUGGCCGAGACUGACGAGCGUCACGGAGAUACGGAGCUUCCUUGGAUUGGUCGGAUACUACCGGAGAUUUGUUGAGGGGUUCGCCAAGCUGUCUACUCCCCUCACGAGGCUCACGCAUAAAGGAGUCAAGUUCAUUUGGAAUGAUGCAUGCGAGAGAAGCUUCCAAGAGUUGAAGCAAAGAUUGAUGACCGCCCCGAUCCUAACCCUGCCAAUGGCUGGAGCAGGGUAUGUGGUUUAUAGUGAUGCUUCACUUAAUGGAUUGGGUUGUGUGUUGAUGCAGGAUGGCAAAGUGAUCACGUACGCUUUGCGCCAACUAAAGGAAUAUGAAAAUAACUACCCGACGCAUAAUUUGAAGUUCGCGGCCGUAGUCUUCGCAAUGAAGUUAUGGCGCCACUAUCUUUAUGGUGAGCGGUGUGAAGUGUACACGAAUCACAAGAGUUUGAAGUACUUAUUCACUCAGAAAAAGUUGAAUUUGAGACAGCGCAGAUGGUUGGAGCUGCUCAAGGAUUACGACCUAACGAUUCUAUACCACCCAGGUAAGGCUAACGUGGUGGCGGAUGCGCUAAGUAGAAAAUCGACGGAAAACUUAGCGAUGCAUGUUGUUACCCAACCGCAGUUGAUCGAGCAGAUGAAGCGGUUGGAGUUGGAGGUGGUGAUUCCAGAUAUGCCUUUGAGAUUGAUGACUUUUGUAGUGCAACCUACACUCUUGGAUAGAAUUAAAGAAAAGUAAGCUUCCGAUGUGAAGUUGCAAAAGGUUCGAGAUAUAAUGGUUGAUGGUUGCACCGCCGACUACCUUGUGGAUGACCAAGGAUUGAUGCGUUUUCGCGAGCGGAUUUGUGUACCGGCGGAUUCGGGAAUUAAAAAGGAUAUCCUACAAGAAGCGCACCAAGCGCCCUAUGCUAUACAUCCGAGAGGCACCAAGAUGUACAAGGACUUGAAGUUGCUUUAUUGGUGGCCCAGGAUGAAAAAGGACGUUGGCGAGUUUGUAGCUCGUUGUCUAACUUGCCAACAAAUAAAGGCUGAGCAUCGACUACCCGCAGGAAAACUUCAGAGUUUGCCCAUCCCGUGUGGAAGUGGGAGAAGAUCACCAUGGAUUUCGUGACUAGAUUGCCCCGCUCCCAGGCCGGGCAUGAUGCUAUAUGGGUGACGUGGAUAGGUUCACGAAGUCGGUGCACUUCAUACCUAUUAAUACUACUUGGACCGAAGAGAAACUCGCACAAGUGUACCUUGAUGAGAUUGUGAGACUUCAUGGAGUGCCUACAUCGAUAAUAUCGGAUCGAGACACUCGAUUUGUGUCUCACUUUUGGAGGAGUCUACAAGACGCCCUAGGCACUCGAUUGGACUUCAGCACUGCUUUCCACUCUCAGAGUGACGGGCAGUUGGAGUGCACUAUUCAGACCUUAGAGGAUAUGCUCCGAGCAUGUGUGAUAGAUUUUCAGGGAGGAUGGUCGCAGCAUCUACCGAUGGCGGAGUUUGCUUAUAAUAAUAGUUAUCAAGUAAGCAUCAAGAUGGCGCCCUUCGAAGCACUUUAUGGACGGAAGUGUAGAUCGCCACUUCAUUGGAGUGAAGUAGGCGAGAGAUUGGCCUUAGGCCCUGACGUGCUCCAGGAAGCUGAGGACAAGGUUUGAAUUGCUCGGGAGCGACUGUUGACGGCACAGAGUAGACAGAGGAGCUACGCCGACCGACGACGGCCGACCGACGACGGCGAGACUUAGAGUUCCAAGUUGGAGACCAUGUGUUCUUGAAGGUCUCGCCGACAAGAGGAAUCAAGAGAUUUGGGGUUCGGGGUAAGUUGAGCCCCCGUUUCAUUGGACCGUAUGAAAUUUUGGAACGUGUAGGUCUGGUAGCGUAUCGGCUUGCUCUACCACCGAACCUAUCGGGCGUGCACAACGUCUUUUAUGUAUCGGUCCUUCGAAAGUACGUCUUCGACUCGACUCAUGUGUUGGAUGCUACACCCUUGGAGUUGCAGAACGAUUUGAGCUUCGAGGAGCAACCAGUGAAGAUCUUGGCUCACGAGGUGAAGAAAUUACGGAAUCGGGACAUUCCGUAUGUAAAGGUCCUUUGGUGCAACCACGGGGAGCGGGAGGCCACGUGGGUGCUGGAGAGUGCGCUGCCGGAGCGCUAUCCCUAUCUUUUCAGAUGGAGUCUUGAGGUAUGUUGUAACUUUCGAGUUUCGCGGACGAAACUCCUUUUUAGGAGGGGUGAAUGUAACACACUGGACCUUUGCAAAUAGCGAGGUUCGAGUGUUUACGUUCCGAAUUUUUUCACACGUUGUGGAGGGUCGUAGACAGUGUUCCGACCUAUGGUUCGAGUCCCGAGAAUUGAGGUUUAAAACUUGGCACCAAAACCCAAAAAGUUGGAUUAUUGGUGUGCUCUCGGGUAGCCUUCAGCAGGCUGUGUACCAAUACAAGGUUGAUGGCUGUACCGGUACGGGGUGAUGGUUGUACCGGUACGCGGGGCCGUGUACCGGUACACAGGCAGCUUCUCAGCCAACCCGAGGCUCGGGUUUGGCAUUUUCGUGGGAUGUGUACCGGUACGCGACCCCGUGUACCAGUACGCAGUGCAAUCCGCAGACUGCUUGAACUGCAGGGGUGGUUUUGCUAUUGUAGUAACACUAUAUGUGUACCCACGCCCCUUAGGGCUCUCUUUGAGCCUUGCACCAGCAGAGAAUAGGUAGGGGAGCCUCUCUCUUCCCCUCUUUAGAUUUGAUCUCCUUUUAGCUUGGAUUUUGGUGGAUUGAUCUCUCUCUUUUCCCUCUUUGUGCAUCUCCACCAUAGUUGAAGCCUGGAGCUUGGACUUGAGGCUUGUUUGAGGGAAGAUUCUUGGACCUAGAGGACUUUGAGCUUAGUUUGAAGCUUCUUAGAGGUUUGUAGCUUAUCCUCCUUCUCUAGAUUUUAGUUUUGAUGCUUUAUGGUAGAUGAAACCUUUGAAAUGAGAUUUAGGGUUAUUUUGGAGCUUUUUGAUUAGAUGCUUUUAGAACUCUCUUGAUGGGUUUAGAACCUUGGAAUAGGUUGCUUUGGAAGGGAUUUGGCUUCCAUUUGGGGUUUGUGAGAGGAUUUCUACCUCAUAGGUGAGUUUUCUCCACCUUAGCCUACGUGGUCUUAUGAUUAAGUUUAGGGUUAAUCAUAAGGUUCGUUUAACUCUGGUUCCUACAUUUAUAGGUUGUUAGGAGGCUAGUAGACACCUUCGUCGGAGCUUACGAAGGGUUUCGAUAACUUCGGUGGGUUUGGCUUCAUUGGAAUAGGAGAAAAUAUCUCCUAAGUGAUUAAAUGCUUUCGUAUCAUCGUGGUUUAUGCAUUUUCAUCAUAGAUAGGAUUUAUGUGAAUUUUUUAAUGCUUAGAAUGCAUGCAUUAUGUAUCAUGAAUAUUUCACUCUAUGUGUAGAGCCUUAUGUGUAGUAUCUAUGCAUGUGUUAAGUAUUCGUAUUGCAAGUUUGGGAAUAUGUCUCUUAUGAGGAAAAUGUUUAGAAUUGUGUACUCUUGAACAUAAUCAUCAUGCUUGACUUAGUGAACAAAGUGCCAUAAAGGGGCACUUGACUUAGUAAACUGUGAAACUGCAACUUAGAGAUAUAGUGAUAGGCCAUUCAGACAUCCACUAUUAUUCCGUGUUUUAGACAUGACGACGUAAUGGUAGGCCAUCGGGACACUUGAUAUAUUCCAUAUUUUUAGACAUGAGGACUUGGUACUUGAGACAGAUCUUUCGCUUGCUUGCCAUUGUGCUCAUUCGAACAUGCUUGUGACGGUCGCUUCCUACAAGCUGGCACUCCGGAGAUAGCCAUCGCGACAUAUGCUCGCUCGUGCGGGAUUGGGUGCCGAAAUGGGAUGCCGUGGGGGAGGCUCAUUCCUAGAGUGGGAAUGUUGACUACCACGGGGCCAUUAGGCACGGCGCAGGCCAGACAGCCUACGGGUGGGUCUUACAUGAUUGGAACUUAGUGACAGACCAUGCCAGUUGGACUUUGACUAGAAUAGUAAACAACGACAUUUUACUAUCUACAUCAUGGAUAUUCUGUUGAUUGCAUAUACAUGCUUAUACAUGUUAGUCACACUCAUGAACAUACUUGUUGUAGUUGUUUUAUUACUUAUGCAAUUCUUGCUAAGUAGAGAUAUCAUGGUAGAGUAGUACUCAUGGUUACAUACUUGUUCUUUAUUUAGCUUUUGUUUAUACUCGUACUUACUCUCUUUUGUUCAGUUUUGGGCCUAGUGACACAUUUCACUAAAAUCAGUAAUUGCCUAUUGGAAACUAUUUUUAAUAGUUCUCACGCCCUCGUUUCUAUGGUUUUAUUUCAGAGACCUCUACACCGGUGGAGGCACGGGACCGCGGCAAGGGGAUCGCUUAGCUAGCUAGCAAGGAGCGUUUCUUUUGCAUUUUUGGUAGUUCACUCUCCUUUUGGUGUAGUUGAGAGAGAGAGAGUUAUGUUAGUACCUUGUAUAGAGAGACCACCUAUGUAUCUGGUUUAGCAUUUGUACUUUGGAUGUUUAUUGUACUACUUCCCGUUUCUACCUAGUGGAUUUAGCUCUAUAUUCAUUUCAGUUAUUGUAGCAUCUAGAUAUACUUGCUCUGAUACUGCUAGAUGUUCUCUUUAUCUUGCUUUAUUUAUCGUUUUAUUUUAGACGCCUUAUAUGUUUUAGACGUAUGGCGGGUCUGGGCACGUGCCGGGCGGGCUUCCGCUGGGUCCCGGGGCGUGACACGGCCUCUGCGAAACGCCAUUGCCAUCAUAGCAUCGUGUCAUCGGUGAAAUACAUGGAAGCGGUCUGGACCUUGUCAUCCUCAUCCUCCAACAGCAGCGCCUUGAGAUAGCGCUCCAUGUGCCAUAGAAAAUUGUCGAACUCCUUCUCAUCGC